GACGAACGCUGGCGGCGUGCCUAAUACAUGCAAGUAGAACGCUGAAGGAGGAGCUUGCUUCUCUGGAUGAGUUGCGAACGGGUGAGUAACGCGUAGGUAACCUGCCUGGUAGCGGGGGAUAACUAUUGGAAACGAUAGCUAAUACCGCAUAAGAGUAGAUGUUGCAUGACAUUUGCUUAAAAGGUGCAAUUGCAUCACUACCAGAUGGACCUGCGUUGUAUUAGCUAGUUGGUGGGGUAACGGCUCACCAAGGCGACGAUACAUAGCCGACCUGAGAGGGUGAUCGGCCACACUGGGACUGAGACACGGCCCAGACUCCUACGGGAGGCAGCAGUAGGGCAUCGUCGGCCAGAGACGGAAGUCUGACCGAGCAACGCCGCGUGAGUGAAGAAGGUUUUCGGAUCGUAAAGCUCUGUUGUAAGAGAAGAACGAGUGUGAGAGUGGAAAGUUCACACUGUGACGGUAUCUUACCAGAAAGGGACGGCUAACUACGUG
rnacentral:rRNA from 1 species